GAUGAACGCUGGCGGCGUGCCUAGUACAUGCAAGUCGAGCGAACAGAUAAGGAGCUUGCUCCUUUGACGUUAGCGGCGGACGGGUGAGUAACACGUGGGUAACCUACCUAUAAGACUGGAAUAACUCCGGGAAACCGGGGCUAAUGCCGGAUAACAUUUAGAACCGCAUGGUUCUAAAGUGAAAGAUGGUUUUGCUAUCACUUAUAGAUGGACCCGCGCCGUAUUAGCUAGUUGGUAAGGUAACGGCUUACCAAGGCAACGAUACGUAGCCGACCUGAGAGGGUGAUCGGCCACACUGGAACUGAGACACGGUCCAGACUCCUACGGGAGGCAGCAGUAGGGAAUCUUCCGCAAUGGGCGAAAGCCUGACGGAGCAACGCCGCGUGAGUGAUGAAGGUCUUCGGAUCGUAAAACUCUGUUAUUAGGGAAGGACAAAUGUGUAAGUAACUGUGCACGUCUUGACGGUACCUAAUCAGAAAGCCACGGCUAACUACGUG
rnacentral:rRNA from 1 species